rnacentral:rRNA from 1 species
UACGGGAGGCAGCAGUGGGGAAUAUUGCACAAUGGGCGCAAGCCUGAUGCAGCCAUGCCGCGUGUAUGAAGAAGGCCUUCGGGUUGUAAAGUACUUUCAGUCGUGAGGAAGGUGUUAAGGUUAAUAACCUUAGCAAUUGACGUUAGCGACAGAAGAAGCACCGGCUAACUCCGUGCCAGCAGCCGCGGUAAUACGGGGGGUGCGAGCGUUAAUCGGAAUUACUGGGCGUAAAGGGCACGCAGGCGGUUAAUUAAGUUGGAUGUGAAAUCCCCGGGCUUAACCUGGGAAUGGCAUUCAAGACUGGUUAGCUAGAGUCUUGUAGAGGGGGUAGAAUUCCAUGUGUAGCGGUGAAAUGCGUAGAGAUGUGGAGGAAUACCGGUGGCGAAGGCGGCCCCUGGACAAAGACUGACGCUCAUGUGCGAAAGCGUGGGGAGCAAACAGGGAUUAGAUACC